GAUGAACGCUGGCGGCGUGCUUAACACAUGCAAGUCGAACGGAAAGGCUCCUGCUUGCAGGGGUACUCGAGUGGCGAACGGGUGAGUAACACGUGGGUGAUCUGCCCUGCACUUCGGGAUAAGCCUGGGAAACUGGGUCUAAUACCGGAUAGGACCACAUUUUGGAUGGUGUGGUGGAAAGUUUUUCGGUGUGGGAUGAGCUCGCGGCCUAUCAGCUUGUUGGUGGGGUAAUGGCCUACCAAGGCGUCGACGGGUAGCCGGCCUGAGAGGGUGUACGGCCACAUUGGGACUGGGAUACGGCCCAGACUCCUACGGGAGGCAGCAGUGGGGAAUAUUGCACAAUGGGCGCAAGCCUGAUGCAGCGACGCCGCGUGGGGGAUGACGGCCUUCGGGUUGUAAACUCCUUUCGCUAGGGACGAAGCGCAAGUGACGGUACCUGGAGAAGAAGCACCGGCUAACUACGU
rnacentral:rRNA from 1 species